UUUCUGACUACAGCCUCGCGACUAAUGAGAGGAUUGAUAUUCCAAUCAUCAAUCCUCUCAUUAGCCGCGCGAAUCGGUGUAGCUGAAGAGGCGUUAAUAAAACAAUUAAUUACGGAUCAUAGCUUAGCAUUUAAGUUAAGUAUAAUUCGAGUAUUACUUCAACUUUAAUAUAACUUUUAGAAGAAAAGGGGCCGGUGGCCCCUUUUC
rnacentral:sRNA from 1 species